CUUCCCUAUCCACUUGGCUCCUCAUUCAUUCGCUGCUCUUCACAAGACAGGUCUCUCUGAAUCGAAGAACCAUGUCUUACUCUGACCAGCAGCAGUGCAAGCAGGUCGUGUGUCCUCCUCCAGUGUGCCCUCCCACGAAGUGUCCACCAGUGUGUCCUCCCCAGAAGUGUCCUCCACCGGAUUGUCCUCCACCAGUAUGUCCUCCCCAGAAGUGUCCUCCACAGAAAUGCCCACCACCUGACUGUCCUCCACCGAAAUGCCCUCCGCAGAAGUGAAGGUUGACACCCCAACCCACUGCGGCAACGUCCACCACCACGAAACCAAGAGCAAGGCAGCAAGUCCCUGCGUGCAGCUUCUUUCACAUCCCUUCAUCUUCUGCAAUGGUUUCCCAGGUUGUUCCCGUGACCGUUUCAAAGCUCUGCUCUUGUACCUACCUGCCAUCCUGUUCUAAGUGGUGCCUUGAAUCUAUGUAGGUGGCAACUGACUUUGUAAUUUGGACUCCUGGCAUCCUCCUCCCCGGGAGGAGCUGGGUGCGGGGAUGUGGGAUCAGCCUUUAAAUUAUUCUCAGGCGUUUUCCUCCUAUCUUGCGCUGUGACCAUAUUGCAAUAAAAAUUUCCUUUCAUAGCAA